UAGAUAGUGGGAGUACUCAUACAUUUCUCAAUCCUGCAACAGCUCAAUUGUUAAAUUGUGAGAUUGAGAUUACCAACCCUCUAUUGGUUACAGUGGCAGAUGGCAAUAAAAUACAGUGUAAUUCCAAGUGUUCUAGGUUCCAAUGGCAAAUGGGAGAGUGUAAAUUCAUGACGGGAGUGAGAUUAUUACAGUUGGGAGGUUGUGAUAUGGUCAUGGGAGUUGACUUUCUUAGGAAACUG
rnacentral:lncRNA from 1 species